rnacentral:rRNA from 1 species
UCGAGGGGCAGCGGGGGCGUAGCAAUAUGCCUGCCGGCGACCGGCGCACGGGUGAGUAACACGUAUGGAAUCUGCCCGUAGCAGGGGGAUAAGCGGAAGAAAUUCCGUCUAAUACCGCGUAAUAACUCCGAGAGGCAUCUCCUGGGGUUUAAAGGGUAACACCGGCUACGGAUGGCCAUGCGGCGCAUUAGCUAGUCGGCGGGGUAACGGCCCACCGAGGCGACGAUGCGUAGGGGUUCUGAGAGGAAGGUCCCCCACACUGGUACUGAGACACGGACCAGACUCCUACGGGAGGCAGCAGUGAGGAAUAUUGGUCAAUGGCCGAGAGGCUGAACCAGCCAAGUCGCGUGAGGGAAGACGGCCCUACGGGUUGUAAACCUCUUUUGUCGGGGAGCAAAAGCCGGACGUGUCCGGCUGUGAGAGUACCCGAAGAAAAAGCAUCGGCUAACUCCGUGCCAGCAGCCGCGGUAAUACGGAGGAUGCGAGCGUUAUCCGGAUUUAUUGGGUUUAAAGGGUGCGCAGGCGGAUUUUUAAGUCAGCGGUCAAAUCGUGGGGCUCAACCCCAUCCAGCCGUUGAAACUGGGGAUCUAGAGUGUGCGAGAGGUAUGCGGAAUGCGUGGUGUAGCGGUGAAAUGCAUAGAUAUCACGCAGAACCCCGAUUGCGAAGGCAGCAUACCGGUGCACAACUGACGCUCAGGCACGAAAGCGUGGGUAUCGAACAGGAUUAGAUACCCUGGUAGUCCACGCAGUAAACGAUGAAUGCUACCUGUUUGGCCAGAUUGAAGGCUGAGCGGGACAGCGAAAGCGUUA